rnacentral:tRNA from 1 species
GGGGAUGUGGCUCAGGGGCAGAGCACUUACCUAGUAAGUGUGAGGCCCUGGGUUGCAUCCCCA